rnacentral:rRNA from 1 species
CGGCAACAGCUCAAAUUUGAAAUCUGCCCGCAAGGGCCGAGUUGUAAUUUGUAGAGGAUGCUUCGGCGUUAGCGCCGCCCAAAGUUCCUUGGAACGGGACGUCAUAGAGGGUGAGAGCCCCGUGUCCGGGCGGAUGUUUUUGCCAUGUGAAGCUCCUUCGAC